AAAGGGAUAAUAUUGUAAAAGUAAGCCAAAUGAAAUAAAAAGUAACGGUAGGGGUAUCAAUACUUUAACGACAGAGAUGUUUCGAUGUAUUUUUAAAAAUAAAUGGACUAAAUGGACACUAAUUUUAAAAUACAGGGACUACAUGAGCUUUUACCCUCUAAGCUGCCACAACUAGUGUUUACCAAACACUUUAGUGUUGUAUUUUUUAAAUUACAGCUGGUCAACCUCAAUUGCAAAAGCACCCUUACAUAAAUUGUAAAAUAUUUGUGUGUAUGGUUGUCUUAUGAAUUCUAUCAUUUGGUAAAACAUUGAAUUUCACAAUAAAAUUAAUUGAUAUUUUUAAUAUUAAAUUUAGUGGUCUCACUAUAAGAUCUACUGUUAAUCUUAUGAUAAAAUUCACUACUCCAUCACAUGACACGAUGGAAUCUUAUUAAACUAUCUCACAAUCCCCUGGAAUUGUUCUCAGAUAAAAUUCCUAAUUCCAAACAAAAAUAAUGGGACUUGUGCCGCGCUCGAUAUAUCAAGAGCAUGUGAUUACUAUUUACAUGUACGCAUUGUACGGUGGAAACUGAACUAGUGUUAUAGAAACGUGAUAAAAUAAUGAAACAUGUGGCGUUUUGUACCAUUUUUAUAAUGAACUAGACUCUUAUAAAAUAGUGAAAAAAAUGGGACAUUUCCACCGAAACUUUUUUUUUUU
rnacentral:lncRNA from 1 species